rnacentral:rRNA from 1 species
GUGGGGAAUAUUGGACAAUGGGGGGAACCCUGAUCCAGCCAUGCCGCGUGUGUGAAGAAGGCCUUUUGGUUGUAAAGAACUUUAAGUGGGGAGGAGGCUUACCUGGUUAAUACCUGGGCUAAGUGGACGUUACCCACAGAAUAAGCACCGGCUAACUCUGUGCCAGCAGCCGCGGUAAUACAGAGGGUGCGAGCGUUAAUCGGAUUUACUGGGCGUAAAGCGCGCGUAGGUGGCUAAUUAAGUCAAAUGUGAACUCCCCGAGCUUAACUUGGGAAUUGCAUUCGAUACUGGUUGGCUAGAGUAUGGGAGAGGAUGGUAGAAUUCCAGGUGGAGCGGUUAAAUGCGUAGAGAUCUGGAGGAAUACCGAUGGCGAAGGCAGCCAUCUGGCCUAAUACUGACACUGAGGUGCGAAAGCAUGGGGAGCAAACAGGAUUAGAAACCCGGGUAGUCC